AUCCCUACGGGGCGCAGCAGUGAGGAAUAUUGGUCAAUGGCCGGGAGGCUGAACCAGCCAAGUCGCGUGAGGGAAGACGGCCCUACGGGUUGUAAACCUCUUUUGUCAGGGAGCAAGGUGCAGGUCGGGACCUGCUGUGAGAGUACCUGAAGAAAAAGCAUCGGCUAACUCCGUGCCAGCAGCCGCGGUAAUACGUAGGUGGCGAGCGUUAUCCGGAAUGAUUGGGCGUAAAGGGUGCGCAGGCGGUCCUGCAAGUCUGGAGUGAAACGCAUGAGCUCAACUCAUGCAUGGCUUUGGAAACUGGG
rnacentral:rRNA from 1 species